rnacentral:rRNA from 1 species
AACGAACGCUGGCGGCAGGCUUAACACAUGCAAGUCGAACGCCCCGCAAGGGGAGUGGCAGACGGGUGAGUAACGCGUGGGAAUCUACCCAGAUCUACGGAACAACAGUUGGAAACGACUGCUAAUACCGUAUACGCCCUACGGGGGAAAGAUUUAUCGGAUUUGGAUGAGCCCGCGUUGGAUUAGCUAGUUGGUGGGGGAAUGGCCUACCAAGGCGACGAUCCAUAGCUGGUCUGAGAGGAUGAUCAGCCACACUGGGACUGAGACACGGCCCAGACUCCUACGGGAGGCAGCAGUGGGGAAUAUUGGACAAUGGGCGCAAGCCUGAUCCAGCCAUGCCGCGUGAGUGAUGAAGGCCUUAGGGUUGUAAAGCUCUUUCGCCGAUGAAGAUAAUGACGGUAGUCGGAGAAGAAGCCCCGGCUAACUUCGUGCCAGCAGCCGCAGUAAUAC